rnacentral:rRNA from 1 species
UUUCCGUAGGUGAACCUGCGGAAGGAUCAUUAAA